GACGAACGCUGGCGGCGUGCUUAACACAUGCAAGUCGAACGGAAAGGCCCUGCUUUUGUGGGGUGCUCGAGUGGCGAACGGGUGAGUAACACGUGAGUAACCUGCCCUUGACUUUGGGAUAACUUCAGGAAACUGGGGCUAAUACCGGAUAGGAGCUCCUGCUGCAUGGUGGGGGUUGGAAAGUUUCGGCGGUUGGGGAUGGACUCGCGGCUUAUCAGCUUGUUGGUGGGGUAGUGGCUUACCAAGGCUUUGACGGGUAGCCGGCCUGAGAGGGUGACCGGCCACAUUGGGACUGGGGUACGGCCCAGACUCCUACGGGAGGCAGCAGUGGGGAAUAUUGCACAAUGGGCGGAAGCCUGAUGCAGCAUCGCCGCGUGCGGGAUGACGGCCUUCGGGUUGUAAACCGCUUUCGCCUGUGACGAAGCGUGAGUGACGGUAAUGGGUAAAGAAGCACCGGCUAACUACGU
rnacentral:rRNA from 1 species